rnacentral:rRNA from 1 species
CACGUAGGCACCAAGCGUUGUCCGGAUUUAUUGGGCGUAAAGAGCUCGUAGGCGGUUCAGUAAGUCGGGUGUGAAAACUCUGGGCUCAACCCAGAGACGCCACCCGAUACUGCUGUGACUUGAGUACGGUAGGGGAGCAGGGAAUUCCUGGUGUAGCGGUGGAAUGCGCAGAUAUCAGGAGGAACACCGAUGGCGAAGGCAGGUCACUGGGCCUCAACUGACGCUGAGGAGCGAAAGCAUGGGGAGCGAACAGG